UGCAGUCGAGCGCGGGAGCAGGCAGAUCCUCUUCGGAGGUGACGCCUGUGGAACGAGCGGCGGACGGGUGAGUAACACGUGGGCAACCUGCCUGUAAGAUUGGGAUAACCCCGGGAAACCGGGGCUAAUACCGGAUAAUACUUUUCGUUGCAUAACGAGAAGUUGAAAGGCGGCUUUUAGCUGUCACUUACAGAUGGGCCCGCGGCGCAUUAGCUAGUUGGUAAGGUAACGGCUUACCAAGGCGACGAUGCGUAGCCGACCUGAGAGGGUGAUCGGCCACACUGGGACUGAGACACGGCCCAGACUCCUACGGGAGGCAGCAGUAGGGAAUCUUCCGCAAUGGACGAAAGUCUGACGGAGCAACGCCGCGUGAGUGAUGAAGGUUUUCGGAUCGUAAAACUCUGUUGUCAGGGAAGAACAAGUGCCGUUCGAAUAGGGCGGCACCUUGACGGUACCUGACCAGAAAGCCCCGGCUAACUACGUGCCAGCAGCCGCGGUAAUACGUAGGGGGCAAGCGUUGUCCGGAAUUAUUGGGCGUAAAGCGCGCGCAGGCGGUCCUUUAAGUCUGAUGUGAAAGCCCACGGCUUAACCGUGGAGGGCCAUUGGAAACUGGAGGACUUGAGUACAGAAGAGGAGAGUGGAAUUCCACGUGUAGCGGUGAAAUGCGUAGAGAUGUGGAGGAACACCAGUGGCGAAGGCGACUCUCUGGUCUGUAACUGACGCUGAGGUGCGAAAGCGUGGGGAGCGAACAGGAUUAGAUACCCUGGUAGUCCACGCCGUAAACGAUGAGUGCUAGGUGUUAGGGGGUGCAGUCGAGCGCGGGAGCAGGCAGAUCCUCUUCGGAGGUGACGCCUGUGGAACGAGCGGCGGACGGGUGAGUAACACGUGGGCAACCUGCCUGUAAGAUUGGGAUAACCCCGGGAAACCGGGGCUAAUACCGGAUAAUACUUUUCGUUGCAUAACGAGAAGUUGAAAGGCGGCUUUUAGCUGUCACUUACAGAUGGGCCCGCGGCGCAUUAGCUAGUUGGUAAGGUAACGGCUUACCAAGGCGACGAUGCGUAGCCGACCUGAGAGGGUGAUCGGCCACACUGGGACUGAGACACGGCCCAGACUCCUACGGGAGGCAGCAGUAGGGAAUCUUCCGCAAUGGACGAAAGUCUGACGGAGCAACGCCGCGUGAGUGAUGAAGGUUUUCGGAUCGUAAAACUCUGUUGUCAGGGAAGAACAAGUGCCGUUCGAAUAGGGCGGCACCUUGACGGUACCUGACCAGAAAGCCCCGGCUAACUACGUGCCAGCAGCCGCGGUAAUACGUAGGGGGCAAGCGUUGUCCGGAAUUAUUGGGCGUAAAGCGCGCGCAGGCGGUCCUUUAAGUCUGAUGUGAAAGCCCACGGCUUAACCGUGGAGGGCCAUUGGAAACUGGAGGACUUGAGUACAGAAGAGGAGAGUGGAAUUCCACGUGUAGCGGUGAAAUGCGUAGAGAUGUGGAGGAACACCAGUGGCGAAGGCGACUCUCUGGUCUGUAACUGACGCUGAGGUGCGAAAGCGUGGGGAGCGAACAGGAUUAGAUACCCUGGUAGUCCACGCCGUAAACGAUGAGUGCUAGGUGUUAGGGGG
rnacentral:rRNA from 1 species